rnacentral:rRNA from 1 species
GAUGAACGCUGGCGGCGUGCCUAAUACAUGCAAGUCGAGCGAACAGACGAGGAGCUUGCUCCUCUGACGUGAGCGGCGGACGGGUGAGUAACACGUGGAUAACCUACCUAUAAGACUGGGAUAACUUCGGGAAACCAGAGCUAAUACCGGAUAAUAUAUUGAACCGCAUGGUUCAAUAGUGAAAGACGCUUUUGCUUUCACUUAUAGAUAUAUCCGCGCCGCAUUACCUAGUUGGUAAGGUAACGGCUUACCAAGGCAACGAUGCGUAGCCGACCUGAGAGGGUGAUCGGCCACAUUGGAACUGAGAAACGGUCCAGACUCCUACGGGAGGCAGCAGUAGGGAAUCUUCCGCAAUGGGCGAAAGCCGGACGGAGCAACGCCGCGUGAGGGAUGAAGGUCUUCGGAUCGUAAAACUCUGUUAUUAGGGAAGAACAAAUGUGUAAGUAAAUAUGCACGUAUUGACGGUACCUAAUCAGAAAGCCACGGCUAACUACGUG